rnacentral:piRNA from 1 species
UGCUAGAAUUUUAAGCCUGUGCUGGUAUAC